UGAUGAGGAUAAUCUACUACUGAGUGUGUAGGGAGGUAUUCUAUUUUUUUCAACGGGGCUGAAUCCAGUCACUUGACCGUCAUGGUUGCUAUGGUCAGUGGUGUAGUCUACGUGAUACGCAGGUAUACGCCGUAUACCCACUAGGAACGCACCAGGAUUUGCGUAUACCCAUUUAAAAAUGUGCACGGAUACGUAUCAAUCGUCUUGUGACAGAUCUUUCACUUCUGUGUUUAUUUUUCGCAAAUACCGGUUGGGUAUAACUGCAAUAAAAUACUUUUAGCAGGGGAAGUUAUCUCCUACAUUCACCAUUCAUGGCUCUGCCAUGUCUCUGUUACGAAGCGCGAAGCUGCCCCUGCAUCUCUGCACGUUAGUUGGCGGGCCGAGCCCCUCCUUCUCGCGUGUGUGUGCGCGCGUGUGUGCGUGCGUGUCCACUCCAGUCCUCACAUAUUAAUGUGUAAACCACAUAACAAGUAGUCAACAGAAGACAAUGUUUUAAUCCCACUUUGUAUCUCCUUGUUACUUUUAGAUGAGAACCCCUGGCCAGCCUUUCGGACUGGGUGUCAGGCUAGGGAAUUUAAAAACAGGCAUCCUUGGUUAGAGUGGAGGGAAAAAAAGUUCGGUAAAUGUCAGCUGGUAUACACAAUUGAAAUUCAUAAUGUUAAUCACUAAGCAAAUGAGAGUAUAGCUAAUUCAUGGUCAUUUUUAAGGUGCACUAAUUUCACACUUUUACACAAUUCAAUUACUGUAUGGUAUGUUAGAUAACAACAGUAAAGAGCUCAAAUUAGAGCAAUUGAAAGAGUGAAACAUUAGUCUCCUGUCAUCUCCUUCUCAUGCACCGGUUAGCCAUGGUUGUAAACAGUUCAUUCAAUUAUUUUGAGUAGAUUUUGUCCUUGUUUAGCAUGUGCUAUUGCUACUAUAGAUAUACAAAGGACAACUUGUCAUUUUUGUGUUCUGUUUGUUCAUACUGUUAUUAAAACUGAUAAACCUACUCAGCUUUCCAUGAUUGUUGAUAAUCGUUAUACUCUUAAAUCAGCGGGUUGUAGACCCCUCCGUUGGUGAGUGUGGUGCGACACCCCAUAAGCGCCACACACGUACACGUACCGGUGGGACGGGUUUGUACGAGGCUGGGAGGGAAUCAUCACAGUAUACCUACUACAAUAAAAUAGACUACACCACUGAUUAUAGCCUAAUGAUCAAUUAGGAGGCCGAAGCCCUAAAGGAAGUGAUGCAAUAGGUGACUGAGUCGACAACAUUUAAGUAAGCUGUAAAGCGUCUCUUGUAUAUCAAAGGGGGUCUCAAAGGACGCAUAAGCUUCAACCUGUGGCUCCAUACAGGAAAUGACUCAGCAAGUGCUCCAUCUCGUUGCAACUCACCCAGCGGCUCGCUUGCAAGAUUUUGGCCUGAAGUUCUUCCCAGACCUACACCCUAGCCAUCCAACAUGCAUAUCUGAGAAUCAGGCCUCUCUUUAAUAAUGACAAAAAGUUAUGAGAGAAACACACAUUAACUUUUUGUUAUCUCAUAAGCGGCGUGGUGCCGGCUCCUUUUGA
ensembl:lncRNA